rnacentral:rRNA from 1 species
AGUGAACGCUGGCGGCGUGCCUAACACAUGCAAGUCGAACGAUGACGGAGGAGCUUGCUCUUCCUGAUUAGUGGCGCACGGGUGAGUAAUGCAUAGAUAAUGUGCCCCUUAGUUCGGGAUAGCCACUGGAAACGGUGAUUAAUACCGGAUACUCCUUCUUACUAAAAGGUAAGUCGGGAAAGUUUUUCGCUAAGGGAUCAGUCUAUGUCCCAUCAGUUUGUUGGUGAGGUAAUGGCUCACCAAGACUAUGACGGGUAUCUGGUUUGAGAGGAUGAUCAGACACACUGGAACUGAGACACGGUCCAGACUCCUACGGGAGGCGGCAGUGAGGAAUAUUGCACAAUGGAGGAAACUCUGAUGCAGCAACGCCGCGUGGAGGAUGACGCAUUUCGGUGUGUAAACUCCUUUUAAGAGGGAAGAUUAUGACGGUACCUCUUGAAUAAGCACCGGCUAACUCCGUGCCAGCAGCCGCAGUAAAAC